rnacentral:rRNA from 1 species
CCCGGGGCGGGUGCUAAUACAUGCAAGUCGAGCGGACAGAAGGGAGCUUGCUCCCGGAUGUUAGCGGCGGACGGGUGAGUAACACGUGGGUAACCUGCCUGUAAGACUGGGAUAACUCCGGGAAACCGGAGCUAAUACCGGAUAGUUCCUUGAACCGCAUGGUUCAAGGAUGAAAGACGGUUUCGGCUGUCACUUACAGAUGGACCCGCGGCGCAUUAGCUAGUUGGUGGGGUAAUGGCUCACCAAGGCGACGAUGCGUAGCCGACCUGAGAGGGUGAUCGGCCACACUGGGACUGAGACACGGCCCAGACUCCUACGGGAGGCAGCAGUAGGGAAUCUUCCGCAAUGGACGAAAGUCUGACGGAGCAACGCCGCGUGAGUGAUGAAGGUUUUCGGAUCGUAAAGCUCUGUUGUUAGGGAAGAACAAGUGCGAGAGUAACUGCUCGCACCUUGACGGUACCUAACCAGAAAGCCACGGCUAACUACGUGCCAGCAGCCGCGGUAAUACGUAGGUGGCAAGCGUUGUCCGGAAUUAUUGGGCGUAAAGGGCUCGCAGGCGGUUUCUUAAGUCUGAUGUGAAAGCCCCCGGCUCAACCGGGGAGGGUCAUUGGAAACUGGGAAACUUGAGUGCAGAAGAGGAGAGUGGAAUUCCACGUGUAGCGGUGAAAUGCGUAGAGAUGUGGAGGAACACCAGUGGCGAAGGCGACUCUCUGGUCUGUAACUGACGCUGAGGAGCGAAAGCGUGGGGAGCGAACAGGAUUAGAUACCCUGGUAGUCCACGCCGUAAACGAUGAGUGCUAAGUGUUAGGGGGUUUCCGCCCCUUAGUGCUGCAGCUAACGCAUUAAGCACUCCGCCUGGGGAGUACGGUCGCAAGACUGAACUCAAAGGAAUUGACGGGGGGCCCGCACAAGCGGUGGAGCAUGUGGUUUAAUUCGAAGCAACGCGGAGAACCUUACCAGGUCGUGACAUGCUCUGACACCCUAGAGAUAGGGCUUUCCUUUCGGGGACAGAGUGGACAGGUGGUGCAUGGAUGUCGUCAGCUCGUGUCGUGAGAUGUUGGGGUUAAGUUCCCGCCAACGAGCGCACCCUUGGAUCCCUAU